ensembl:lncRNA
GCGGCGGCGGCGGCCAGCCCCUGCGCCGAGGCGGCGGCGGCGGCGGCUGCGGCGGUGGCGAACAGCGCGGCCGGGGACCCGGCUCGGCGUCGGCCGCGGCGGCGGGGCAGGGCGAGGCGGCGGCGGCGGCGGCGGCGCCCGCGCCCGCGCCCCCCACGGCGGAAGCGGCGGCCACCCCCUACGUGGGGCUGCGGCGGCCCCUGGGCUACCAGCUGGCCAAGGCCACCAAGGAGCGCAUCUGGCGGGGGGAGUUCAUUGACCUCUUUUCCUUGCUCCACACAGAGCUGACCCCCGAGCACGGCCCGCACCCGGGGGACACGCUGGACCAGUGGGUGUCGGCCUUUCUGGUGUACGCCAGCGUGGUGUGCGAGAAGCACCCGGCGCGCUGCGGGGCCAUGUUCAAGUACCUGGACACCAUCCGUAAGCUGCACGCCACCUACGGGGGCACCUCGUGGAUGAACUACGACGAGGACUUCCGGCGGCGGGCGGCCAAGGACCCCAACCUGCCGUGGGGCGACGUCGACCUGGACCUGUGGAUGAAGUGGAUGGCCCCUCUCAAGUCGCUCCUCAGCAGGCACAAUCGUAUCGAGAGCGAGCCGAAGGCCGCGCCGCCGGCACAGCCACCGCCUUCAUCGUCGUCGUCAUCCCAGAGCCCCAAGAAGGAGGAGAAGAGCCAGACUCCGUGAAAGCAGAAGGCCAGUUGGAAUGGCAGGCAGGAUAAGCGGAGAUCUGCUGGGAUCCCUGAGUUCUUUCCCACAACAUCUGCCGCUCAAUGCUCAUGGUCUUCGACUCAUAAGCCCACCUCUGACCUCCACCUCAUGCCAAAUGUCCCACAUUUUAUAAUCGUAACCAGGGCUACAGCACUACAGAUUGUCUGCCAGCAGCAGUUUGUCUCCGUUUAUUCCACCAAUUUGGGGAGAGCAGAAGAAAAUGUGAGAAGAGGUAUAACUGCUCCCAGAACUCCACCCCUCCUUACAUUCAUUUUUCCAAAACCCAUCAGUCAGAUCCUCACUGUGAGGACGGCAGAGACCAUUUCUGGUUAUUCCCCACGAAGCCAAGUCUGCCACUCCAAACUACCAACCUACUUUGCAAAUAACACCAUGUGGGGAGCAGUAUUGCAAUCUUUACUGUUUCAGAGAGAUUUUUUUUUCUCUGAGCACUCAGAAAAAUUGCAUUCUGUUCCAAAGUAGCUACAUGCCAAGCUUCAAACUGAAGUUAUUUUGGGGUUAUCCAAGCAAGCAAGAAAAGAAAACACACAUCCCCCAAAUGCUUUGACUACAGAAAUUUAUGUUCAGGGUCUAAAUAUCUCAGGAGAUGCCUAAAAGACUUUAGUGAAUCAUGAAAAAAAGUCACUUGAAAGCACACGGGUCAAAUAAAGUAUGAAAAAUAUCAAACUACAGGAAAAAUUAUCUAUGUGAGGAAGCGUGACUUUAAAACUUCAGAAUCAGAGUUCCUUACGCCAUCAUUUCUUCAAAGAAAAAAGUGGAUUAAGUUAAGGAAUAACUUCUUCAGUAUGGAUUUUUUCCCUAUCAGUUUGUUUAGAAAUAAUCAAAAGAACUCUUCUCAUGUAAGAGGAGAAACUUCUAAGCGUGCCACAAGGAAUGCACUCUGUAUCACCCUAGGUAUUUUCAUUGUGUUUUCCAAAGGUUACCCCGGUAGCCUUUUUGCACAGAUAUACCAUAAGUUGUAUAGUCAAGAUCCUGCAGUACCAGAGACAGCUUAACCUUUAAGGAAUGCUGUAACACGGCUCUAGAUACGCACCCAUCGCUCAGCACCAACCUCACAUCGGUGUGUGAUCGGCACCAUCUGGGCUGAAACUGGGACACAAGAAGGAUGCAGUGCAGCGCUAACUCAGUUAUGACAAUUAACUUCAUGCAUUUUGAUACGCUGGCUUAACACAGCUCUGUGAACAGCAAAAUAUAUGCAGCCGUGCUUUCCAUUCUGAUACAGGAAUUUGAGAACAGGUUUCAUGACUGCUGAAAAAAUGCUCAAUUUAUUUGCAACUCCAUUUUCAUUUGACAUACAUACAUUACCUGUGAAUUUUCAAAUGGAAUGUGUAAGAGUUGCAAUCAAAAUCUGACCAUGCCUCUUUGACAGGCUUCCAUGAGCCAAAAAUAAGAUCACAUAUCCCAUUACUUUUAUGGUUUUGUUGCUCUCUUUUUUUAUAUGUUUUAAUAAAAAGCAUUAAAAAUUAAAACAUGUUAUUUACACACAUUUACUAUAUUAUAUAUUUUAUGAGAGCUGCUCCGAAAAUAAUCAUAGAAUCAUAGAAUCGCUAAGGUUGGAAAAGACCCACAGGAUCACCCAGUCCAACCAUUCACCCUUCACCAAUGGUUCCCGCUAGACCAUGUCCCUCAACACAACAUCCAAAUGCUCUUUGAACACCACCAGGGUCAGUGACUCCACCACCUCUCUGCGCAGCCCAUUCCAGUGCCUGACCACCCUUUCAGAGAGUAGCUUCCUAUUUUACGACCUUGGCCUACAACAACAGAG